CUCAGGACAGCCUUAUACAUGUGCAGGUGAAGCUGGAUCACGUCAACAGACUACACCUAAAGCAGUCUGGAUGUGUGUUGGGAGGAUCACUUCACCUGAGCUAUGUAUAUCUAUCUCAUAGGAUUUCAGGGUUAUACAAUAUACCAUGUGACUGCUGAGUAAAACAGAAGACUCAGACAGGAACACAGCUCUCAUUCAUAACAUGCCUCCUCUCCAGACUAACAAAGCGCAAUCCUGGUGAGCUACUGAACUUAAAGCUGCAGAACUGGAAUGAGGGCUUGUUACCCAGAACUCUCUUGAAGGAAAAGAGCUGAAGCAAUGCAUAUGGCUUCACAGCUGGAGACCACACUCCUCAGCCUCCUUACAACCAACCUGUCUUGUUUGAAUCCAUUCUCUUCAAGGGAAUGAGAACAAAAUUUACGUGUGCAGCUUCCAGCCCAUCAUCCAGUUCCCUGUCUUCUGCUAGCAGUACCCUGAUUUUGCUCUGUGGAAUCAUCCUCUUCCUGACUUUCAGCUCAUGUGCUUCUGAAUUUAAAGAUUGUCCUGGGAUGAUGGACCCCACAGAAGUUAUAACAAGAAGAGGACAAGAGUGACCAUUAAGUAUGAACUUCUUUAGGAGAAUAUAACAGGUUUGGAAGAUCAAGGAAUGAAGGUGCUGGGAGAAUCAAACAGUUUAAUAUAUGUAAAAUGCUUAGAUUUGGACCUUAAUACUAAUUUACUACACCAUUCACUCUGAUAUAGACUGAAACCCAGGAUAAUUAAAGUAUCAUAUACUUGGUGGAAGUUAAAUGUUUAUAUAAAAUGGAUACCAAAUGGAAAUAAAAUGUUUCUCCAUUUUGUGCAUUCACAGUGAUCCCAACAUCUUGCAUCUUCUUUUAUAAUAAAUAUAUUUCCUAGGCUAAUUUUCAGACCUUGAAGCCUUGGAGACCACUGAAAUUAAUAAAUUUGUUGUAGCUCCAAAAGUCUCUUAGCUGAUCAUUACGUUGGCUGGCUGCAAUAGGGAAAGGGCCAUUGCUGAUACUUGUGUAUUUACCAAUCUUGUUUAAUCACAAUGAAAGAAGAUGAAGGUGUCAUGGAAAGUGGAUUUUGUGUAAUGCUAUAUCAACUGAAGUGACUUCCAUAAGCCUUCACAGGUGUUCACAGGAAUCAGACAUUAGAAAAAUCCCUCCUAAUCCAAGAUUUGGAAUAUACUUCUUGUAUUCAACUGGUACUUGUUGUGAAGUAAAUUAUUGGCCCUAAUAAUUACCUACCUACAUCCAUGCUCAUUGCCCUGUAACUGCAAGUUCUCCCACUCAAGUCUACUCCCCUGUCAGUCACUUUUCUUUGGGCUUGACCAUUUGAUGUACUUUGACAAUGCAUGUGGAUGGAAGUGCUAAUGUGACAUUUCUCAGCCUAGCCUUUCGUCUUGCUCAAUUGCCACUGCCAUGAGAGGAGCUUCCACUGAGAAGCUACUAUCCCCCAAGUCUGGUUCUCAGAAUAUGCACAUGUGGAAGAGAAGAAAGCCUGACUUUUAGCAAGAAGCCUAUUCCUGUGGUAUGUGCAACCUCAGCAGAGCUUUUCAUUAAAGUCAAGUCCAGUCCAAAUCAGCUGAUCCUUGAGUGACCUGCAUAUAUCUGAGAAAUAUUAUUGUUGUAUGCCACUGAUAGAUAUUUUGUGAUUGAUUAUCUAUCUGUCACAUAACAAAAGCUGACUGACAUACAUGUAGUUUCAGGAUUAUCAAAAAGGCAUUAUCUUUUCAAAAAUGCUAGAAAUAAUUCCAAAGAUAAUUGUUUGUGCCAGAUGACAUAAUUGUAUAUACAUUGUAGAUGGAAUUAUCAAGAUUACUUUUAAUGCCAACGACAUUUAGGAAUGCUAAUUAACUUAUGAAACACCAUCACAUAUCAUUAAUAAAGGAAAUUUAUAUUUUGUGUUCCCUAAAUGGCACUAUAGGAAAUGUAACAUAUGCUCAUUAAGUUUGCGGUUAUGAUUUUAAUCAUUGAAAUGAAGUCAAUGAAAUUGUAUAACUGAAAAAUUCCACCAAAUAACUAUAAAUUUCACUUUUAGAUGGAUAUUAGAAUUUAUAAAAUAUGUCUAGUGACUUAAUUGUAUACUAUUUAACAAUUACAAGACUAUUAUAACAUAUUUAAUUAACAGAAUUGAAACAAGUAUUUGUUGAAAAACAAAGAACAUUUUAAACAA
rnacentral:lncRNA from 10 species